CCUACGGGGGGCAGCAGUGGGGGAUAUUGCACAUUGGGGGAAACCCUGAUGCAGCGACGCCGCGUGGGCGAAGAAGUAUUUCGGUAUGUAAAGCCCUAUCAGCAGGGAAGAAGAAAUGACGGUACCUGAGUAAGAAGCACCGGCCAAAUACGUGCCAGCAGCCGCGGUAAUACGUAGGGUGCAAGCGUUAUCCGGAUGUACUGGGUGUAAAGGGAGCGCAGGCGGUACGGCAAGCCUGAUGUGAAAGCCCGCGGCUCAACCGCGGGACUGCAUUGGGAACUACCGGGCUGGAGUGCCGGAGAGGUAGGCGGAAUUCCUAGUGUAGCGGGGAAAUGCGUAGAUAUUAGGAGGAACACCAGUGGCGAAGGCGGCUUACUGGACGGUGACUGACGCUGAGGCUCGAAAGCGUGGGGAGCAAACAGGAUUAGAUACCCGUGUAGUC
rnacentral:rRNA from 1 species